rnacentral:rRNA from 1 species
UACGUAGGGUGCGAGCGUUAAUCGGAAUUACUGGGCGUAAAGCGUGCGCAGGCGGUUUUGUAAGCCAGAUGUGAAAUCCCCGGGCUCAACCUGGGAAUGGCAUUUGGGACUGCAAGGCUGGAGUGCGGCAGAGGAGACUGGAAUUCCUGGUGUAGCAGUGAAAUGCGUAGAUAUCAGGAGGAAUACCGAUGGCGAAGGCAGGUCUCUGGGCUGGCACUGACGCUCAUGCACGAAAGCGUGGGGAGCAAACAGG